UACGUAGGGACCAAGCGUUGUUCGGAUUUACUGGGCGUAAAGGGCGUGUAGGCGGUCAGGUAAGUGGGACGUGAAAUGCCUCGGCUCACCCGAGGAGCGGCGUCCCAUACUGCUUGGCUUGAGUACGGGAGAGGAUGUGGGAAUUCCUGGUGUAGCGGUGAAAUGCGUAGAUAUCAGGAGGAACACCGGUGGCGAAGGCGCACAUCUGGCCCGAUACUGACGCUGAGGCGCGAAAGCUAGGGGAGCGAACAGG
rnacentral:rRNA from 1 species